UACAGAGGUCCCAAGCGUUGUUCGGAUUCACUGGGCGUAAAGGGUGCGUAGGUGGUGAGGUAAGUCGGAUGUGAAAUCUCCGAGCUCAACUCGGAAACUGCAUUGGAAACUACCUUGCUCGAGGGUUGGAGGGGGGACUGGAAUGCUUGGUGUAGCAGUGAAAUGCGUAGAUAUCAAGCGGAACACCAGUGGCGAAGGCGAGUCCCUGGACAACUCCUGACACUGAUGCACGAAAGCUAGGGGAGCAGACAGG
rnacentral:rRNA from 1 species